rnacentral:rRNA from 1 species
UACGGAGGGUGCGAGCGUUGUCCGGAAUCAUUGGGCGUAAAGGGCGCGUAGGUGGCCCCUCAAGCGUGCGGUGAAAGUCAGGGGCUCAACCCCUGAUCGGCCGUGCGAACUGGGGAGCUUGAGCACUGUAGAGGCAGGCGGAAUUCCGGGUGUAGCGGUGAAAUGCGCAGAUAUCAGGAGGAACACCGGUGGCGAAGGCGGCUCACUGGCUCAUUACUGACGCUCAGGCGCGAUAGCGUGGGGAUCAAACAGG